rnacentral:rRNA from 1 species
AUGGGCAACUCCGGGAGCACAGCUCCUGCAAGCUUAGGAAAGACCCAUGUUCCACAUUUCAAAUGGAAGGUCCAUGACUUCUCAGCGCUACUUGAGAUGAAGGCUACCUCAGCGUUCUCUGCUGCUUUUGACUGCUCUGGAUACAAGUGGCUCCUGCAAGUGACUCCAAAGCACAAGCAAGAUGUUAAGGGAAAUCCAUACGUGGCUCUUUCUCUUAAGAUAGCCCACGCAUGCUUGGAGCUAGGUCACAUUGUGCAUGCAGUGUUCGAGUUGUCAAUAUUCAACCAUUCAAAAGAAAAGUAUUGUGGAUGCAAAGCUAGCUACAAUUUUGAUUUCAAGAAUGCCUACUCGGAGCAGCAUUGCUUGAUUCCUCUUCAAGAGCUACUGAAAUCAUCUGCUUUUCUAGUUGAUGAUAGCUGUGUCUUUGGUGUGAAGAUAUUAAAAAUUGAUGUCUCUUCUCCUGAAAAGAAAGCUGUUGUGGUUCAGAAGAAGGCUACCACAGUUCAGAAUCUAUUUGUCCAGAAGAAGGGGUUCAUUAAAGGGACAUACAGUUGGACCAUGAGCAAUUUCCUUGAAUUGGACUUGAAGCACUUCGUCCGUUCUCCUACAUUUGAAGUUGGCGGACAUAAAUGGUAUAUCGGCAUGUAUCCGCGUGGUGACAAGUACAGCACUGAUUGCCUCAGCUUGUACUUAUUCGUGGAUACCUCGGAUGAGGUACCUUCAGAGUCUGGGAAGGUGGUUGAAAUGACACUCUCCAUCUUGAACCAAAAGAAUGGGAAAUACUGGACUAGAACUUCAGGUCUCUGGGUAUGUGGACAUAGUUGGGGAUGGCCUAACUUCACUGGGCUCAAGAAACUCAAGGACCCGUCGGCAGGCUAUGUUGUGGGAUCCAGAUGCCUUGUUAAGGCAGAUCUCGCCAUCGUUGGUUCAUCCAAUGAUGUUACCUAA